rnacentral:rRNA from 1 species
CACGUAGGGUGCUAGCGUUGUCCGGAAUUAUUGGGCGUAAAGAGCUCGUAGGCGGUGUGUCGCGUCGGCCGUGAAAACCUGCAGCUUAACUGUGGGCUUGCGGUCGAUACGGGCAUCACUGGAGUUCGGCAGGGGAGACUGGAAUUCCUGGUGUAGCGGUGAAAUGCGCAGAUAUCAGGAGGAACACCGGUGGCGAAGGCGGGUCUCUGGGCCGAUACUGACGCUGAGGAGCGAAAGCGUGGGGAGCGAACAGG